UAGAAUCAAUAAGACUCUGAUAUCAUGUGAUAAAGUGUGAUUAGGGCAAAAAAAAAAACAGAAUUAUGGUUGAGGUUACGAUGCCUCUUUCCUUUUAUAUUAAUCACCAAAAAUAUCUAAUUACACAUAUGAGUCCCUUAAUAAUGAAAAGAUGACAAAUUAAGCUAAUAUCUAACAAUUAUAAACACCAUUUCAUCCUAUAACUGUUGAGGAUAUUAUAAAUAAUAAAAUUGCC
rnacentral:lncRNA from 1 species